AUCGGAAUCUACCUUUUCGUGGGGGAUAACGUAGGGAAACUUACGCUAAUACCGCAUACGACCUUAGGGUGAAAGCGGAGGACCUUCGGGCUUCGCGCGGAUAGAUGAGCCGAUGUCGGAUUAGCUAGUUGGCGGGGUAAAGGCCCACCAAGGCGACGAUCCGUAGCUGGUCUGAGAGGAUGAUCAGCCACACUGGAACUGAGACACGGUCCAGACUCCUACGGGAGGCAGCAGUGGGGAAUAUUGGACAAUGGGCGCAAGCCUGAUCCAGCCAUGCCGCGUGGGUGAAGAAGGCCUUCGGGUUGUAAAGCCCUUUUGUUGGGAAAGAAAAGCAGUCGGUUAAUACCCGAUUGUUCUGACGGUACCCAAAGAAUAAGCACCGGCUAACUUCGUGCCAGCAGCCGCGGUAAUACGAAGGGUGCAAGCGUUACUCGGAAUUACUGGGCGUAAAGCGUGCGUAGGUGGUUGUUUAAGUCCGUUGUGAAAGCCCUGGGCUCAACCUGGGAAUUGCAGUGGAUACUGGGCAACUAGAGUGUGGUAGAGGAUGGCGGAAUUCCCGGUGUAGCAGUGAAAUGCGUAGAGAUCGGGAGGAACAUCUGUGGCGAAGGCGGCCAUCUGGACCAACACUGACACUGAGGCA
rnacentral:rRNA from 1 species